GCCCGGGUGGCGGAAUGGUAGACGCAGGGGACUUAAAAUCCCCUGGGGGAAACCCCAUGAAGGUUCGAGCCCUUCCCCGGGCA
rnacentral:tRNA from 1 species